UCCGUAGGUGAACCUGCGGAAGGAUCAUUACCACACCGAUCCCAGAUCGAUUCCUUCUUGUGAAGUUGGACCAACAACAGAUUUGUGUGUGUUGCCGGUCCAGUUGACACACAACCCCCCUUGAAAUCACCGGCCUUGAACUGUAAGGAGCAUGAAAUGGAAAAAGCUUUGGUUGUUGUACAAACACCAAACGAAUUGAAUACAUUACAACUUUCAGCAAUGGAUGUCUUGGUUCCCACACCGAUGAAGAACGCAGCGAAAUGCGAUACGUAAUGCGAAUUGCAAAACCUUGUGAAUCAUCAAUCUUUUGAACGCACAUUGCGCUUCCGGGAAUCUCCCGGUAGCAUGCUUGUCUGAGUGUCCGCAAACCCCCCUCAGCAUCAGUGGCUGCUCUGCAGGCCUGGUUGCUGGACUGUGGCUCUGCCUGAGACCUGAAAUCAGGUAAGAGGACCCGCUGAAUUUAAGCAUAUAAUUAAGCGGAGGAAAAGAAACUAACAAGGAUUCCCCUAGUAACGGCGAGUGAAGAGGGACCAGCUCAGUUUGAAAAUCGAGGCUUGCCUCGAAUUGUAGUCUGUAGAGCCUACGCCAGCGAAGCUCCAGGGUUAAGUUUCUUGGAACGGAACAUCAGAGAGGGUGAGAAUCCCGUCUGGCUCCAGGAUGCUUCGCGUACGGCUGGGUUUCAAAGAGUCGAGUUGCUUGGGAUUGCAGCUUUAAUUGGGUGGUAAAUUCCAUCUAAAGCUAAAUAAUGGCGCGAGACCGAUAGUGAACAAGUACCGUGAGGAAAAGAUGAAAAGAACUUUGAAAAGAGAGUUAAAUAGUGCCUGAAAUCGUUGAAAGGGAAACGCUUGAAGU
rnacentral:rRNA from 1 species